UUACACUACAUUUCUCUUCAAGUGUACAUACAAGUACACUGGGGACAAAGCAGCUGUUUUUCCUUUAGAAGGCAGAUUUUCUUUUUCCAGAAAGAAGUUGUCAGAACUGGGCAUAGAGAAGGUUCUUUUUGUUCCAUUUCCAUGUGGCAGAGUCAGAUUGCCUGGGUGAAUUCAUACAAAGCUUUAGCACAUCCCGAUUCUAGAGGAGAUGAACGAACCACGUGGAUGCCCUCAAGAUGUGUACGACCAUGGAACGGGAGACUGGAGGGACCCAUGGAUCCAACCAUGGAUGGGGUUACCCCUGUAUGAGCCAGUUGAAUCUGAAUGCGAGGAUGGAAUGAGGACCGACCAGAGUCACAAUGCUUAAUGGACCAAUGCUUUCUGACUGAGCUCCUCUCUACCCUGAAUACAAGAGACCCUAAUAGUUAGGCAGGAAUAUCAUCGCCCCUAUUCAGCAUGAAGAAGUUACAGAAAAUGGACCUUCAUCCUUCUGCAACUCCUAGGAUUAAGGGUCCUCUUGUAAAAGGGAAAGGGGAGAUAUGUGCGAAACAUUCAAACCAGAGCGACUCCAUUUUGAAUAAGGGCUAAGAAAAAUGAAGCUGGAGCACUGAGCAGCAAUUAAGGGCUGCACAGCCUGCAAUUGCCUUGCUCAGUUAAAAGAGGCCACAUUUUAUGCUAGUAAUAAUGAUAGCUAGUAAUAAUGAUAGUAAUAAUGAUACCUUCUCCUUUACAAAAAAGAGAAGGGGAGCAUGUUGGGAAAAAGCUGAGUGUUGGGAAAAAAGCUGAGGCAGGGCUUGCAUGUCUGACAUAAUGUCCUCUGGAAUGUGUCUAGACUUGCUGGCUCCUUGCUUCUAGCCCUCCCAGGCUCCUAGAUCAAUUGUAUGCCCAUUAUCUCAAGUAGCAGAACAUGUUCCAUAUAAAUGCUAAACUGUCACAGCUGUAGAUCAUGUGCCUGCCCUUUUGACCCCCACAUUCUCAUCAGCUGUUUCUUUGUUGGAUUACCAAUAAAUAGCAUGGCUCCCAGAGCUCGGGGCCUUUGCAGCCUCCACAAUUGCGAUGGCCCCCUGGUCCCACUUUCUCUCUCAAACUGUCUUUUUCUCAAUCCUUUGACUCCACCGGACUUCGUCGCCCCCAUGACCUGGUGUUGGGUGUGAUCACCCCAACAAACAGGAGCUGGGUAAAAUGAGGCUGAAACCUACUGGGCUGCAUUCCCAGAUGGUUAAGGCAUUCUAAGUCACAGGAUGAGAUACGAGGUCAGCACAAAAUACAGGUCAUAAAGACUUUGCUCAUAAAACAAGUUGCAGUAAAGGAGCUGGCCCAAACAUACCAAAACCAGCUGACCAGAGGUCACUCUGGUUGUCCUCACUGCUAUACUCUCACCAGCACCAUGACAAUUUACAAAUGCCAUGGUGAUGUCAGGACAUUACCCCACAUGGUCUAAAAAGGGGAAUCAGGAAUAACCCAAGCUUUGAUGAGCAUAUCAUCAAGAAAUGACCAUAAAAAUGGGCAACCAGCAGCUCUCAGGGCUGCUCUGUCUGUGGAGUAGCCAUUCUUUUAUUCCUUUACUUUCUUAAUAAACUUGCUUUCACUUUGCACUGUGGACUCGCUCUGAAUUAUUUUGUGUGCAAGAUCCAAGAACCCUCUCUUGGGGUCUGGAUUGGGACCUUUGUCCUGUAACAUAUUUCUGGCAGCCCAUAGGGGACUAUAGUGCAGAAACCCUGACCCAAUGGCUACCUUUGGGUAAGUGUUGGUGUCCUGUAACAUAUUUCUGGCGAACCACAGAAGGGAUGAUACUGAAGAGACCCCCGACUCAUAGGAAAAUCAUCUGCAUGCACCGACUGGCUGACUUUGGGUAAGUGGAGUGCAUAUACUCAGGUAAAGAAUGGGAUUGGGUUAGAGGCCCAACUUAGGAGAGUUAAUGUCUCUCCUUAAGACAGAGUGGGUUAGAGGCCCCUCUUCAUAAAAGGCAAGGAUGCUUGACCAACGUUGGGUUAAAGGCCCAACUUAUGAGGGUUAGAGUCCUUUCUAAGAUUUAGGGGGUUAGAGGCCCCAUUUGGUAAAGUCCCUC
rnacentral:lncRNA from 1 species